rnacentral:misc_RNA from 1 species
CAAGAAACGAGGCUACGUGCCCCGCUCCUUACCUUGCCUACUGCACUAUCUGUUGCUUCCUGGCGGCGGUUUGCCUGCCGCCAGGGACAUUGUAAAGCCCUGCAUAAGCAUUGAAAAAACUGAAACAAACCGAAUCGUA